CAAGGGUUCGUUGCCAUUUGAUGAGCCCAUAUGAGAUUAGCUAGUUGGUGUGGUAAUGGCUCUCCAAGGCGACGAUCUCUAGCUGGUUUGAGAGGAUGACCAGCCACACUGGGACUGAGACACGGCCCAGACUCCUACGGGAGGCAGCAGUGGGGAAUAUUGCACAAUGGGGGGAACCCUGAUGCAGCCAUGCCGCGUGUAUGAAGAAGGCCUUAGGGUUGUAAAGUACUUUCGUGGAGGAGGAAGGGUUUACGUAAUCGUGGACAUUGACGUUACUCCAAGAAGAAGCACCGGCUAACUCCGUGCCAGCAGCCGCGGUAAUACGGAGGGUGCGAGCGUUAAUCGGAAUGACUGGGCGUAAAGGGCAUGUAGGCGGAUGAUUAAGUUAGAUGUGAAAUCCCUGGGCUUAACCUAGGAAUUGCAUUAAAACUGGUUAUCUAGAGUAUUGUAGAGGAAGGUAGAAUUCCAUGUGUAGCGGUGAAAUGCGUAGAGAUG
rnacentral:rRNA from 1 species